UUAAAACAAGUUUUUCAAAUACUGGAAAACCGUGAUCUCUACACUUAUCAAAAAUAUUCCGUGACUUAACUAAAAAUCGAUAAUCCGAUCAUAUACUUUGUGAUGCAGCCCUGGUUAUCGACUGUCUUCUUCUUCUGUGUUGUGAAAAUCCUAAAGCGGGCUGGGAACUUACAGUCUUAAAUAAAUUUGUCUUAUUACUGGUUUUGUUGAUAGUGCUAACAAUAUUAUUUGGUACUAAUUGGUCAAUAAGCCAGUUUGGUGAGCCGGGAACAUAUCUGAAGUCCUCACCCUUGCAGAACUUGGUCGUGGAACUUGCGAAAUUGAGGAUCACAUCUUUACUUGCUUUUCAAACCCAGUACAUGAUUAAGUUCCGGUAAUUUACACUGAUUACAUAAAAUUAAAAGGUUUUUAAACUCGUAUUACUCUGCAAGCUCGAAGGGCAGUUGUGUUCAAUAAAUGAACUGUGCCCGCAACGCUUCACACAUGUCAUUGGAAAACUUUUCAUCGAUUUGUGGGUUCCGGGCUCCGAGGGAGCGACGGAAGCAAGUGGAGUGACAGGCAUGUGGUUGGCCAAAUUAUGGCAACUUUAAUUGAACAAACCAAUAUUAAUCAAAGGCCAGUGCUGGCCGACUCCGGGGCAUUUAAUAAAUUGACUACUUCACCCAAUCGUCGGUCGGCGGAAGAGUUGGUCGAACUGGUCUGGUUGAUAUGGUUGGCCAUUGGGUGAGUCAGUGCAUAAUAUGAACUGUUAUUUGGUAGAUUAAAUAAUCA